rnacentral:lncRNA from 1 species
CAGUGUCUAUGGAGGUGUUUCCUAUAUGUGAAAUAUUAAGACAAUCACCAUUUCCAACAACAAUGGCAUCAUUCCCUUCAUAAGGUUUAAGUUCAGAAAUUUUACCUGGAUCAUUGACCAUAUGGGUAGUUGCUCCUGAGUCAGCAUAUAAUUUGGCAUCAUUUGCAUCCAGGUUCAUUGCAGCUAAGGCUUGUGGAAUUUCCUCAGUAAGAUGUGAGUAGUCAUACCUACAUCGACAUUCAAUGGUUGUAUGUUUCGGUAAAUGACAAAUUUGACAUAUGACAGUUUCUUCAUUGACUUCCUCAGCUUGUUGUUUGGAUUGAUUCUGAAUUUUCUGCCAAGGCUGUCCAGAAUUAUUUUGCCGAGGUUGCUGCCACUGUUGUCCCGAGUUUCCUUACCAUGAUUGUUGCCCUUGUUGACUUGGAUUAUUGUUUGAUUUUUGCCAUGACUGACUUGCAUUAUUAUUCCAACUUUUUCCACCAUUGUAGUUGAUUUUUUGACCACUUGAAUCAGCCAAAUUUUGUCCUCCUGCUGCUGUAAAACCACGACCUUUUGAGUUAAAGAAAC